UAGGGAAUCUUCGGCAAUGGGGGCAACCCUGACCGAGCAACGCCGCGUGAGUGAAGAAGGUUUUCGGAUCGUAAAGCUCUGUUGUAAGAGAAGAACGUGUGUGAGAGUGGAAAGUUCACACAGUGACGGUAACUUACCAGAAAGGGACGGCUAACUACGUGCCAGCAGCCGCGGUAAUACGUAGGUCCCGAGCGUUGUCCGGAUUUAUUGGGCGUAAAGCGAGCGCAGGCGGUUUAAUAAGUCUGAAGUUAAAGGCAGUGGCUUAACCAUUGUUCGCUUUGGAAACUGUUAAACUUGAGUGCAGAAGGGGAGAGUGAAAUUCCAUGUGUAGCGGUGAAAUGCGUAGAUAUAUGGAGGAACACCGGUGGCGAAAGCGGCUCUCUGGUCUGUAACUGACGCUGAGGCUCGAAAGCGUGGGGAGCAAACAGG
rnacentral:rRNA from 1 species